rnacentral:ncRNA from 1 species
UUUAAGUUUGAUUUUUUCUUAAAAAUUAAUUACUUAUGGGUAUUAUACGUUCUAUUUUUAAUUUUUUAUUUUUUCAGUAAUAAGUGUUUUAAUAUUGAUAUUUUCAAUUAAGCUACAUAUUUAUUUUAGAAAAAUAUUGUGCCAGCAUUCGCGGUUACACAAUAUAUAAAAAUUAAUUUUUUAAGUUUUAAUUAUUAUAUAAUGAAGUUAAAAUUUAUCUACUUAAGUGAAAUUUUUUUUUUAAAAUAUUCUUCUUUGUAAAAUUUACUAAAUCUCUUUUUAAACCAGGAUUAGAUACCCUGUUAUUUUUUAUUUAAUAUAUAAUACUUUAACAUUAUUAGUUAUUUUCUAUUAAAUUUGAAUAAUUUGGCGGUAAAUUUUUAUUAGGGGAACCUGUCCUAUAAUUGAUAAACCACGAUAGGUUUUACUUAAAUUUUAUUUGUAUACCUCUAUAUUUUAAGUAUUUUUUAAAGAAUAUACUUUUUUUAUUUUAAUAAUUUAUAUUAGGUCAAGGUGCAGUUAUUUUUUAAGUAAGUGUGGGUUACUAUAAAUUUUUAUAUUUAGGAUAUUUAAAUAUAAAUUUAAAUUGAAUUAGGAUUUAAUAGUAAUUUAAAAUAAUUAUUUUAUUUGAAUUUUUAUUAAAUUUAUGCACAUAUUGCCCGUCACUCUCAUUUUAGUUGAGAUAAGUCGUAACAAAGUAAUUGUACUGGAAAGUGUAAUUAGAAUCU